GGUAGAAGGUGUGUGAGCUGAUGUGAAGUGAGCAGCAUGGAUCAGUGUGAGGACAGAGAGGACAGAGUCCCUCCCUCUAAAACCACUCUGUGUGGAGAACAUGAGGACCAGAGCAAAGCUCAGAGGAAACUAACAGAACCAGAACCUGGACCAGAACCCAGCUGUGUGUCACUAAAGAGCAAUGAUUCAAAGGAUUUUAUCAUUGAAUUUAAAUCAGACCAACCUUCAUCAGCAAACAGGAUCCAACAGAACCUCAAACCAGAACCAGAACCCAGCUGUGUUUCCUUAAAGAGUGACAGGUCAAAGGAUGCCGCCAUUGAUUUUAAAUCAGACCGACCUUCAGCUGCAAAGAGGUGAGC